rnacentral:rRNA from 1 species
AGCGGGGCAGUGCUUGCACUGCCGCCGGCGACCGGCGCACGGGUGAGUAACACGUAUGCAACCUGCCUCUGUCAGGGGGAUAAUCGGCGGAAACGCCGUCUAAUACCGCGUAUAUUUCCAUGGGGCAUCCCAUGGGGAAGAAAGGCGCAAGCCGGGCAGAGAUGGGCAUGCGGCGCAUUAGGUAGUUGGGGGUGUAACGGACCACCAAGCCGACGAUGCGUAGGGGUUCUGAGAGGAAGGUCCCCCACACUGGUACUGAGACACGGACCAGACUCCUACGGGAGGCAGCAGUGAGGAAUAUUGGUCAAUGGGCGGGAGCCUGAACCAGCCAAGUCGCGUGAAGGAAGAAGGUACUUAGUAUUGUAAACUUCUUUUGUCGGGGAACAAAGGCGGAGACGCGUCUCCGGAUGAGUGUACCCGAAGAAAAAGCAUCGGCUAACUCCGUGCCAGCAGCCGCGGUAAUACGGAGGAUGCGAGCGUUAUCCGGAUUUAUUGGGUUUAAAGGGUGCGCAGGCGGGAGAUCAAGUCAGCGGUAAAAUGUCGGGGCUCAACCCCGGCCGGCCGUUGAAACUGGUUUUCUAGAGUUGGAGAGAAGUAUGCGGAAUUCGUGGUGUAGCGGUGAAAUGCAUAGAUAUCACGAAGAACUCCGAUUGCGAAGGCAGCAUACCGGCUCCAUACUGACGCUGAGGCACGAAAGCGUGGGGAUCGAACA